rnacentral:rRNA from 1 species
GAUGAACGCUGGCGGCGUGCCUAAUACAUGCAAGUCGAGCGAACAGACGAGGAGCUUGCUUCUCUGAUGUUAGCGGCGGACGGGUGAGUAACACGUGGAUAACCUACCUAUAAGACUGGGAUAACUUCGGGAAACCGGAGCUAAUACCGGAUAAUAUUUUGAACCGCAUGGUUCAAAAGUGAAAGACGGUCUUGCUGUCACUUAUAGAUGGAUCCGCGCUGCAUUAGCUAGUUGGUAAGGUAACGGCUUACCAAGGCAACGAUGCGUAGCCGACCUGAGAGGGUGAUCGGGCAAACUGGAACUGAGACACGGUUCAGAACCCUACGGGGGGCAAGCAGAGGGAAUCCUCCGGCAUGGGCGAAAGCGUGAAGGAGCAAACGCGGGUGAGUGGAGAAAGGUCUCGGGUCCGAAAAACCCGUUUUUUAGGAAAAAACAAUGUGGAAAGUACCAGGGACGACUUGACGGUUACUAAACCAAAAAGCCCGGCUAACUUACUG